AGUGAACGCUGGCGGUAGGCCUAACACAUGCAAGUCGAACGGCAGCACAGUAAGAGCUUGCUCUUACGGGUGGCGAGUGGCGGACGGGUGAGGAAUACAUCGGAAUCUACUUUUUCGUGGGGGAUAACGUAGGGAAACUUACGCUAAUACCGCAUACGACCUACGGGUGAAAGCAGGGGAUCUUCGGACCUUGCGUGAUUGAAUGAGCCGAUGUCGGAUUAGCUAGUUGGCGGGGUAAAGGCCCACCAAGGCGACGAUCCGUAGCUGGUCUGAGAGGAUGAUCAGCCACACUGGAACUGAGACACGGUCCAGACUCCUACGGGAGGCAGCAGUGGGGAAUAUUGGACAAUGGGCGCAAGCCUGAUCCAGCCAUACCGCGUGGGUGAAGAAGGCCUUCGGGUUGUAAAGCCCUUUUGUUGGGAAAGAAAAGCAGCACGUUAAUACCCCGCUGUUCUGACGGUGCCCAAAGAAUAAGCACCGGCUAACUUCGUG
rnacentral:rRNA from 1 species